AACGAACGCUGGCGGCGUGGAUAAGACAUGCAAGUCGAACGGGACCGGACGGUAGCAAUAUUGAACGGUCCAGUGGCGAACGGGUGCGUAACACGUGGGUCACAUUCCGGGAAGUGAGGAAUAGCCCAGGGAAACUUGGAUUAAUACCUCAUGUGGUCGAAAGACUAAAGGCGCAAGCCGCUUCCUGAUUGGCCCGCGGCCUAUCAGCUAGUUGGUGGGGUAAUGGCUCACCAAGGCUACGACGGGUAGCUGGUCUAAGAGGACGACCAGCCACACUGGAACUGAGACACGGUCCAGACACCUACGGGUGGCAGCAGUCGAGAAUCUUUCACAAUGGGGGAAACCCUGAUGGAGCGACGCCGCGUGGAGGAUUAAGGUCUUCGGAUUGUAAACUCCUGUCAUGCGAGAGCAAAGCCGCAAGGCCUGAUAGUAUCGCAAGAGGAAGAGACGGCUAACUCUGUGCCAGCAGCCGCGGUAAUACAGAGGUCUCAAGCGUUGUUCGGAGUUACUGGGCGUAAAGGGUGCGUAGGUGGCCGCGCAAGUCAGAUGUGAAAUCCGGGGGCCCAACCCCCGAACUGCAUCCGAAACUGCGUGGCUUGAGUGCUAUAGAGGGACUUGGAAUUUUCGGUGUAGCAGUGAAAUGCGUAGAUAUCGAAAAGAAGACCAGUGGCGAAGGCUGGGUCCUGGGUAGCAACUGACACUGAGGCACGAAGGCCAGGGGAGCAAACGGGAUUAGAUACCCCGGUAGUCCUGGCUGUAAACGGUGCGCGCUUGGUGUGGGAUGGUUUGACCUAUCCUGUGCCGGAGCAAACGCGUUAAGCGCGCCGCCUGGGAAGUACGAUCGCAAGAUUAAAACUCAAAGAAAUUGACGGGGACCCGCACAAGCGGUGGAGUAUGUGGCUUAAUUCGAUGCAACGCGAAGAACCUUACCUGGGCUCGACAUGCAUCUCUAAUCGCGUGAAAGCGCGAGAUUGGGGAAACCCAAAAUUUGCACAGGUGCUGCAUGGCUGUCGUCAGCUCGUGUCGUGAGAUGUUGGGUUAAGUCCCGCAACGAGCGCAGCCCUCAUGACUUGUUGCCACAGGCAAUUGCCUAGCACUCAAGUAAGACUGCCCAGAUCAACUGGGAGGAAGGUGAGGAUGACGUCAAGUCCGGAUGGCCCUUACGCCCAGGGCUGCACACGUACUACAAUGUCUAGCACAAAACGAACCAAAUCAGCAAUGACAAGGCAAUCAGCAAAGCUAGACUCAGUUCAGAUUGCAGGCUGCAACUCGCCUGCAUGAAGCUGGAAUCGCUAGUAAUGAUACAUCAGCUACGGUAUCGUGAAUACGUUCCCGGGUCU
rnacentral:rRNA from 1 species